UCCACCACUCCUUCCUUCCAAGAGAGGAGAAGAUUAGGAUAGAGUCGAAGGAAGCCCUUGCCCAGUUGCUGCCCCUCCCCUGCCCUACUUACCCUUGUUCAUCAGCUGAGUAGUUUAUCGCCACCAAGGCAGGCAAGAUGUACGACGCUCCGUCCGCGCAGGAGAUGUCCUACUUCGACCAUGUGCAGAGGCGCCAUGAGGAGAAGGGCUGCCUCUACGCAUGCAUCUUCACGGCGCUGUGCUGCUUCUGCUGCUACGAGACCUGCGAGUGCUGCCUCGACUGCCUCUGCUGCUGCUGCAACUAGGCCGCCGCCUGCAGCUCCAGAAGGCCGGAUGGAGAUGGAGAUCGCCUCUGUCUCUCUUACCUGAAAAUUCAGUAGCCUGCUUGCUUAGUCUGGUUGUGAAGAACAUAAUAAAGCAUGUUGUAGUUAUUCUGUCAGUAUGAACAUUUGUGUGUUCUGAACAAGGUUCUACUAGUGCUGUAACCAAUGGUUUGAACUGCCGCAUCAUACUGUCAGCAUCCGAUUCUGAACUCACUGCGUUUAGUCCGCGUUA